rnacentral:tRNA from 1 species
GCCUGGCUGGCUCAGUUGGUAGAGCAUAUGACUGCUGAUCUUGGGAUUGUAAGUUCGAGCCCCGUGUUGGGUG